CUCGUAGGCGGUUCGAUAAGUCGGGUGUGAAAUCUCCAGGCUCAACCUGGAGGCGCCACCCGAUACUGUCGUGACUUGAGUUCGGUAGAGGAGUAUGGAAUUCCCGGUGUAGCGGUGAAAUGCGCAGAUAUCGGGAGGAACACCCGUAGCGAAGGCGGUACUCUGGGCCGAAACUGACGCUGAGGAGCGAAAGCGUGGGGAGCGAACA
rnacentral:rRNA from 1 species